GACGUGGAGGCGCGAGCGUUGUCCGGAUUUAUUGGGCGUAAAGAGCUCGUAGGUGGCCUGUCGCGUCGGCUGUGAAACUCGGGGCUCAACCCCAAGCCUGCAGUCGAUACGGGCAGACUAGAGUCCGGCAGGGGAGACUGGAAUUCCUGGUGUAGCGGUGAAAUGCGCAGAUAUCAGGAGGAACACCGGUGGCGAAGGCGGGUCUCUGGGCCGAACUGACGCUGAGGAGCGAAAGCGUGGGGAGCGAACAGG
rnacentral:rRNA from 1 species